rnacentral:rRNA from 1 species
GACGAACGCUGGCGGCGUGCUUAACACAUGCAAGUCGAACGGAAAGGCCCUGCUUUUGUGGGGUUCUCGAGUGGCGAACGGGUGAGUAACACGUGAGUAACCUGCCCUUGACUUUGGGAUAACUUCAGGAAACUGGGGCUAAUACCUGAUAUGAUCUCCUGCUGCAUGGUGUGGGUUGGAAAGUUUCGGCGGUUGGGGAUGUACUCGCGGCUUAUCAGCUUGUUGGUGUGGUAGUUGCUUACCAAGGCUUUGACGGGUAGCUGGCCUGAGAGGGUGACCGGGGAAAUUGGGACUGAGAUACGGCCCAGAAUCGAAAGGGAGGCAGCAGGGGGGAAUAUUGCACAAUGGGAGGAAGCCUGAUGAAGAAACGCGGCGUGCGGGAUGACGGCCUUCGGGUGGUAAACAGAUUUCGAAUGUGACGAAGAGGGAGUGACGGUAAUGGGUAAAGAAGCACCGGCUAACUACGUG